UAGAGUUUUAUCAUGGCUCAGAUUGAACGCUGGCGGCAGGCCUAACACAUGCAAGUCGAGCGGAAACGAGAAUAGCUUGCUAUUCGGCGUCGAGCGGCGGACGGGUGAGUAAUGCCUGGGAAUAUGCCUUGAUGUGGGGGAUAACUAUUGGAAACGAUAGCUAAUACCGCAUAAUCUCUACGGAGCAAAGAGGGGGACCUUCGGGCCUCUCGCGUCAAGAUUAGCCCAGGUGAGAUUAGCUUGUUGGUGAGGUAAGAGCUCACCAAGGCAACGAUCUCUAGCUGGUCUGAGAGGAUGAUCAGCCACACUGGAACUGAGACACGGUCCAGACUCCUACGGGAGGCAGCAGUGGGGAAUAUUGCACAAUGGGCGCAAGCCUGAUGCAGCCAUGCCGCGUGUAUGAAGAAGGCCUUCGGGUUGUAAAGUACUUUCAGUUGUGAGGAAGGGGGUAUCGUUAAUAGCGGUAUCCUUUGACGUUAGCAACAGAAGAAGCACCGGCUAACUCCGUGCCAGCAGCCGCGGUAAUACGGAGGGUGCGAGCGUUAAUCGGAAUUACUGGGCGUAAAGCGCAUGCAGGCGGCUUGUUAAGCCAGAUGUGAAAGCCCCGGGCUCAACCUGGGAACCGCAUUUGGAACUGGCAAGCUAGAGUCUUGUAGAGGGGGGUAGAAUUUCAGGUGUAGCGGUGAAAUGCGUAGAGAUCUGAAGGAAUACCGGUGGCGAAGGCGGCCCCCUGACAAAGACUGACGCCAGAUGCGAAAGCUGACAA
rnacentral:rRNA from 1 species